UUAUCGAUAAACAAUUGGAGGGCAAGUCUGGUGCCAGCAGCCGCGGUAAUUCCAGCUCCAAUAGCGUAUAUUAACGUUGUUGCAGUUAAAAAGCUCGUAGUUGAAAUGAAGGGUAGUUGUGUAAUGAAUACAUUCGUGUAUUUUGUUAUUCAACUACCCUCCUUCUAAAUUCGAUAUAUGAGUAUUAAUUUACUUGUAUAUGGUUUUAGACGUUUACUGUGAGAAAAUUAGAGUGUUCAAAGCAGGCAUUUGCUUGAAUAUAUUAGCAUGGAAUAAUCAUGUAUGAUUUUCAUGAUGUAUUUGAUUGGUUUGGUUCAUGAGAAUAAGAUUAAAAGGGACAGUUGGGGGUAUUCAUAUUCAAUAGUCAGAGGUGAAAUUCUCGGAUUUAUGGAAGAUGAACAAGGGC
rnacentral:rRNA from 1 species